AGGGACACUUUGGUGGUUUCUUGAUUCCAUGGUAACAUCUAUCUGACUGAGAAAGAGAACGCCUGUUUGGAGCACUCGGUGAAUAGAUACGUUCGAUUUCAAGGCUGCUUGGCUUUUGACUGCAACUACAAUUAAAAAGCGACUCUACGAGAUUUGCAUCGACAAUUUUCGCAUCAAAUGAAUCUGCUAGAAUCGUCCAAUCUUGUGAUGAAGUCAGGGUGGGGCUAGGUCCAAUACUCUGAGAAUCCUCUUCCUGCCAUGAUGUUUCUUCGGUGGCUAGUUCACUAGAACUGUCAAUUUGAAAAACUAUGAAUAAAGCCUGGAUCUCUACCAAUACAUGAAGUCUUGACGCUGACCUCCAUUCUACGCACUUGAAUUCGACAAGCUAUAAAAUUUUUAUUGGUAUUGUAAUUAAAAAUUAUUUGAAAAUCACUAU